AUUGAACGCUGGCGGCAUGCCUUACACAUGCAAGUCGAACGGCAGCACGGGAGCAAUCCUGGUGGCGAGUGGCGAACGGGUGAGUAAUACAUCGGAACGUGCCCAAUCGUGGGGGAUAACGCAGCGAAAGCUGUGCUAAUACCGCAUACGAUCUACGGAUGAAAGCAGGGGAUCGCAAGACCUUGCGCGAAUGGAGCGGCCGAUGGGCAGAUUAGGUAGUUGGGGAGGAAAAGGCUCACCAAGCCGUCGAUCUUGUAGCUGGUCUGGAGAGGACGACCAGCCACACUGGGGACUGAGACACGGGCCCAGACUCCUACGGGAGGCAGCAGGGGGGGGAAUUUUUGGACAAUGGGGCGAAAGCCUUGAUCCAGCCCAUGCCGCGUGGCAGGGAUGAAGGGCCUUUCGGGGUUGUAAACUGCUUUUUGUACGGAACGAAAAACGGCCCUUUUUCUAAUAAAAGAGGGGUUAAUGACGGGUCCCGUAAGAAUAAAGCCCCCGGCUAACUACGGGGCAAGAGGGCCGGGGGGAAAAACGUAGGGGGGCAAGCCUUAAUUCGGAAUUUCUUGGGCGGUAAAAGGGGGCGCAGGGGGUUAUUUUAGAAAGUUGUUGAAAACCCCCGGGUUCAACCCGGGGAACCUCCAUCUUGUGACCUCCAUUGGCUAGGGGACGGUAGAGGGGGAAGGGAAUUCCCCCGUGUAGCAGUUAAAUUCCUAAGAUAUUCCGGGGGAACACCCGAUGGGCGAAAGGCGAUCCCCUGGACCUUGUCUUGACGCUCAUGCACGAAAAGCGUGGGGGAGGCAACAAGGAUUAUGAUACCCUUGUAGUCCAAAGGUCGAAUUCUCACAUUUGGGCUGUAGUCCCUGGGGGGAUCCCCCUAUGUUCUUAGAGGCGGGCCGCCACCGCGGGGAGCUUCUCAAAUAUGCCCUAAUAGUGAGGUCGUAAUAACGCGCGCCUCACUCGGCCGUGCUUUUUUAAAAAAUCG
rnacentral:rRNA from 1 species